UCAGUUAAACUGUUUUCACGGCAGCAGAGUUUAGAUAGUUCGGUAGUCUGGAGUAAUGCUUGGUUUUUGAUAACUCGAUGUGAUCUCUUUUAAUGGCAGGAAACCUGAAAGCUGAGAAAAUAGUAGGACUUACAACUGAAUUGAAAGUCCAGGGUAUUUCAUACUUACUUCUAAAAUCAGGGUGGAAAGAGGGGUACAUGAGGAGUUUGAAAUCGGAAGAGAAUAUUUGUAUUUGGUGUCUGGUUGUGUUUUUCAGUGACUGUUUUCCUGUGCUUUCCUCUUCCUUGACCAGUUGAGACAUGUGCCUUGUCUAUACCAGACUGUAUUAGCUAGUCUGUAGCAAACUGUAUUAGUAGUAAUACUGGAUUCAUUAGUCUCUUGCAGUGCUGGAAUGAUGGAAAGCUGUUGUGAUGUGCUAAUGAAUGCCUUUCUGUGCUAUUUGUCACCUUAGCACAUUGUCUGUUGAUGCAAGAUAACUGUUUGGAGGGGUAAAAAGCCUCACAGAAUGUAUUUUUACCCAAGUCAGUUUCUUUAAACUUAAUUCUGCUUAUAUAUUUUUUGAACCUUACACUCUGUAUCAAGGACAUAUGAGUGAAAACAGGGCUGUGUAAGAAUUAUGGGUGGAGUGUGUUGAGAUUUUUGGAAUAUACAUUUUUUUUUUUUUUUUGUAAGGUUUGUGAACAUGUGGAACUAAAGAGUAUGGUUAAGAGCAAUGAAAAAAUGAUUUAGUGUCCCCAUAAGAGAGGACAAAGGGGAAGAGUAUAGCAUGCGUCAGUUUUAUGUGUUGGGAAUAUCUAAGUUGCAAGCUGAGAAAAGGUUGCAGUUUGGCGUGUCCUAUACUGUAAACUUCUGUACUUUGAAGUUUCCACCACUCAGCUUUUCUUUCUAAGUUGUACACAAGGGUAGUAACUGAGCCGAACCUUUCAAGCGAAGUCACAUUCAAGAAACACUUUUCUGGGUUCCAGGAAGGUAAAAGAAAGCACUCACCCAUGAGGUGAACAAGGAUCUGUUGAAGACAUGAUGUAGAAUGGGGAAAGCAUAGAGCAAGCAGGGAAGGGUACUUGUCACUGAAGAUGCAGUAUUGUACAAAAGAAAUCUAGUGUUAUACGAGGACAGCUGGCUGAGGAAAUGCAUCUCCAGAAUAUUGAUUUCCAGAGUUUGAUUUUAAGACAUUUUUUGCUGCUUUUUGUCAGAGUUUUUUAGUCUUAUAGUGAACAUGUAGUAGUGUUCUGUGGAAUUUCUAGUAUUUUAAUUUCCAAAUUGCAGCUUGCAGUCAAGAUUGAUAAUACUGAGAUCAUAUAAUUACUUAUCAUACACUUUAGUGUAUGGAGUCACUGUUUUUUUCCUACUUGCAUAUGGUCACAAAACUGUAAUACAAAGGCACAGAAUGCUGUUGAUAGCUGUUUGAAUUAGCUUUGAUGUUUCAGUUUCACUACCCCACCAUAAACACUUGUAAAUGUUGCCACAAGCCUCAAGUAUGGAGUCUUGGUCUCAUAUACUUAUAAGUUCACCAAAGUGCAACUGUGGUGAAGAAACUCAAGUUUCUGUGCCUCACUCUGCCUCAGCCCGUUUGUAAAUUCAGAUACCUCUAGCGCUUUUCCAGUAGGGUUGUCUUUGUUGACAUGGCUUUUGCAAUCUCCAUGAAUAUUUGGUUGUGUUUGAGAAUAUUUUUGGAUCGUGCAUUCACAAAAAAGCCUUGUGUGUGUCCUGCUGGUUUCCCAGCCAGUCUUCAGCAUGAGACUGAGCAGGACUUUCCCUGCAAUUAUAUCUUUUCAUUACUUAACUGAGAGCAGGGAGACUUCUGUGUGCCUUUGACUUACCUGCUCACACCUCAGAGUAAAGGGCUUCCUUCCUUACUAUUUUGGGUAGAGGGAUAGCUGAAAUUCUGUCUCGUGUGUUCGUGAGGGACUCAGCUGUGUUUUAGUUCUUGCAACAAGAGCUGCUUUGGGCUGAAUCAUCCUACCCUUGUAGUUGGCCACUCCCUUAUUGCUCAAAUUUAUAUUUAAUUCCAUUAUUCAUAGAAAAUCUCUCCUGGAUGUUGAAGCAUCAGGUAUGUGAAGAUCAUUCUUUGAAGGGACAUCUAUUUAGACAUCUGUCCAAUAUGAUGAAUUAAUUAUGUAGUAAAGAGAUGUUAUCUUUUAGUUUUGAGACUUCUUAUGCCAGCUGUGUAUCUUGAGCUUGGAGUCCUUCUUAUGCUCCUGGCUGCUUAUGAAGUGUAUACAGGUCCAAGGGAUUUUUUCAGGCUUUGGUUCCACUUCACCUUCCUGGCAAUUUUAAGUAGCUUAACUGACAGGGCAUGACACUUCUUUCUGAUACUUACGUAACUUUUGCCUCAGCACUUGGUUUCACUCAGGAUUUUAGAGAAAGGGUGGAUGGUCCUCCUGUCAUGGAGUGUUCAACAGGAUUUUCAGUGGUGGAAGUAUCUUUCCGUUAUUUAGCACAGCCUGGAUGAGCUUUUCUUUAAGAGACAUCUGCACUGGCGAUGGAAGAGGUUUGGACUAAGCAACAAAUUCGAAGCAGAAUUUCCUUCAUCUUUAACUGGAAAGGUUGCACCCGAAGAAUUUAAAGCCAGCAUCAGUAGAGUUAACAGUUGUCUUAAGAAGAACCUUCCAGUUAAUGUACGAUGGCUACUAUGUGGAUGCCUUUGCUGCUGCUGCACUUUAGGUUGUAGUAUGUGGCCAGUUAUCUGCCUCAGUAAAAGAACACGAAGAUCGAUUGAGAAGUUAUUAGAAUGGGAAAACAAUAGGUUAUACCACAAGCUGUGCUUGCAUUGGAGACUAAGCAAAAGGAAAUGUGAAACGAAUAACAUGAUGGAAUAUGUCAUCCUUAUAGAAUUUUUACCAAAGACACCGAUUUUUCGACCAGAUUAACGUUUGAUUUAUUUAUAGAGACUUAUUCAAGUAUGUUGUCUUUCCAAUGGUGCCUUGCUUGGUGCUCUCCUGGUGGUAACAUAGAUUGGUUCUACAGAAUCUUGUGGUGUUGUCAUUCUUUUUUUGUUUGUUUUGUUGGGUUUCUUUUUUUUUUUUUUAAUUCCCUAAUAAGAGCAUGUUCCAAGUGCAUUUGGUCAAACUCAGCAAAGGAAUUUCACACAAAUGUUAACUACUACUUAAGUUAUUGUUACUUUUACUACUUCUGUUUAUUAAUAUAUCUUGAUUUUCAAAGAGUCUUUUAUAUGUGUGCGCGCGCGUGUGUACAUAUAUAUAU